AUGAACGCUGGCGGCGUGCCUAAUACAUGCAAGUCGAGCGAACGGACGAGAAGCUUGCUUUUCUGAUGUUAGCGGCGGACGGGUGAGUAACACGUGGAUAACCUAGCUAUAAGACUGGGAUAACUUCGGGAAACCUGAGCUAAUACCGGAUAAUAUUUUGAACCGCAUGGUUCAAAAGUGAAAGACGGUCUUGCUGUCGCUUAUAGAUGGAUCCGCGCUGCAUUAGCUAGUUGGUAAGGUAACGGCUUACCAAGGCAACGAUGCAUAGCCGACCUGAGAGGGUGAUCGGCCACACUGGAACUGAGACACGGUCCAGACUCCUACGGGAGGCAGCAGUAGGGAAUCUUCCGCAAUGGGCGAAAGCCUGACGGAGCAACGCCGCGUGAGUGAUGAAGGUCUUCGGAUCGUAAAACUCUGUUAUUAGGGAAGAACAUAUGUGUAAGUAACUGUGCACAUCUUGACGGUACCUAAUCAGAAAGCCACGGCUAACUACGUG
rnacentral:rRNA from 1 species